AAUUAAAAUUAUUUUAUCUCCCAAAAUAUCGUUCUAUGAAAGACUCAAUCAAAACCACCUCUCCUCUUCCUUCCUCUUCCUCGGACUUCUCUGCACACCUGCCGUUCGAUCCGUUUUUCACCGGCGUCAAGCCUUGUGGCUCGAACAAAGACAUCCUUUGCUGGAAGAGAAAGCACGGCACUCCAAAUAAGAUGAGUCGAAAGGGGAAGGAGCCAUGCGCUACGUCUUCAGAGCCAAGGUCACGAAUUGACGAUGCUUGGUGGGAUCUGCCAUAGAUCUCUUUGUUCAUUGAAUUGAUGUAUGAGCAUUACAAGAAAGGACAACUUAUCUCAUCUACAUUUAGUGGGCAAAUUUGGCGUGAAAUAGGCAUUGAGUUGUACGAAUGUAAUAGAACAGAAUACACCGUUGCACAACUUAAAGGUAAGGCUAACAAGCUUCGGAUGUUUGGCGUAAGUUUUAUGAUUUGGUAUACAAACGGACUGGUUUUGGUUGAGAUCCAACUACGUGCACUGUGACUGCCAGUGAGGAUCGUUGGGCUGAAUGGGUCGCGGCUAAUCCGAGAGAGUCUGGCUUGAGAAAGAAGGGUUUUCCUCAUUUCGAUUUAUGUACUGAGAUGUUCUCCAUUUCUGUAGCCAUAGGCAAUAUUGCCUGUUCAUCUGCUAUGCCUCUUGUCGACAACAAUUGUAAGCUAUCCUACAAUGGAUACUGGUAAUCCACUCUCAUUCGGGGCUGGAAAAAUUCCAAGAUGAACAAAAGGAGUGCAGCGAAAAGGGGGACAAAGUGAUCGGUCAAAACGAAUUAAUAAUUGCAUUAAUGCCAUAACGGCUUGCAGUGAAGCCAAAACUCAGAAGCUGACAAAAAUUUUCAAUGACGAUAUUGAAGAUUGCAUGCUUGCGCUUUCUAAAAUGAAAGGACUACCGCCGGAUUUGUUCUUUGCAGCGCAAGAUCAGUGUGUUGAAGGUGAGGCGUCAAAUAUUUCUUCUGAUGAGUGAUGUGGACAAGCGUGCUUGGGUUGAGAGAUUGAACAAACAAGUCUUCCAUCCCGUGUCCACUUUCCGCUAUAGAAAACUUAUGAUCGGAAAUAAUAGCCAUUCGGCCACAUGAUUACUUAGUGGUGAAAUUGAUGAACUUUGCAAAGCAUUGUGCUUAUAUAAUGGAGACAGUUCUCACAAUUAUUUUUUACCGAUUUCAACAAUGGCAUAUAUAAGAUG